AUCGUACCCCAAACCGACACAGGUGGUCAGGUAGAGAAUACCAAGGCGCUUGAGAGAACUCGGGUGAAGGAACUAGGCAAAAUGGUGCCGUAACUUCGGGAGAAGGCACGCUGAUAUGUAGGUGAAGUCCCUCGCGGAUGGAGCUGAAAUCAGUCGAAGAUACCAGCUGGCUGCAACUGUUUAUUAAAAACACAGCACUGUGCAAACACGAAAGUGGACGUAUACGGUGUGACGCCUGCCCGGU
rnacentral:rRNA from 1 species